UACGAAGGGGGCUAGCGUUGUUCGGAAUUACUGGGCGUAAAGCGCGCGUAGGCGGUGAUCCAUGUCAGAGGUGAAAUCCCGGAGCUCAACUCCGGAACUGCCUUUGAAACGGGAUCGCUAGAGUCCGAGAGAGGAUGGCGGAAUUCCUAGUGUAGAGGUGAAAUUCGUAGAUAUUAGGAAGAACACCGGUGGCGAAGGCGGCCAUCUGGCUCGGUACUGACGCUCAGGCGCGAAAGCGUGGGGAUCAAACAGG
rnacentral:rRNA from 1 species